GUGAUUGCUGCAAAGGCAGUGCUUCUGCCCCUGGCAAGAGUCCUGGACAAUAUGUUCUGGGGACAUCCUGUGCUCCUUCUGUAUUUUGUAAUGAUCAUGUGCCCUCUUGUCAUGAAUAUCAUCCAGGUGCGCAUUGCUUCGUUGUUCCCCAUCAAAUUCUUGCAUGCAUUCUCCCACAAGCAACAUUUGUCAUGGCUUUGCAAGCUAGUGUAGAGGUAACAGCGAUGCAGAAGACACAUGUUGUGCCUGUACAGGCCUUGGUGCAGGAUGCUGUACUCAAGUUCAGGAGGAAACACAGCGAUGCGCCAAGCGAAAGCCCAGGUGCAUCACCAGGGGAUUCUGGCCGGAAGAGAGCUGACAAAGAGCAAGUGCGGUUGCUUGCAUCGCAACCUGAGUUCUCGGAUGGUAUUCCACUGAAAGAGAAUCAUACGACCCUGCUGGGUCGCCCAGCUUUACAGGAGAGGCAUUCUUUGGUCUAGACAGUCCAUGCAUCCCAAGGCUGAAAUGCCCUGGCCGUUUCUGAGCAGAAUUUGGCAUCGCCCACCCCUUGUACGGGUUGAGUUAUUCUUUAGUUGGAGUUAAGUAAUUCUGGUUGCCAGGUAUGUGCUAAUCAGUACGUCAGACAAAUUCAGCAAUGGGUUGUUUCGACCUAGGUAUUUCAACAGAGUUCAGUGCUGCUGAUUGCUGUCAGGUGCAAUCGCAGCCAUCCGGCCAUCAGAAUGAGGUGUUUCAUCUCUGACUGCUAUGUUUACGUUACACAACCUUUGCCCUUGAAGGAGAGGAUUAUAAUUGUCUCCUUGAGGGUCUGUUGAAGCAAGACAUGAGAUCUGAGGGCUGGCAAUCUUCCUGACAGUGCUUGAAAAGGUACUCAAAGGUAGAAGCCCGCACGGUGCUUGCAUCCAUUGAUCACUAACCACGCUAGUAUAGCAGACUCAUUGGAUGGGC
rnacentral:lncRNA from 1 species